AUGUGCGAUCGAGAGAGAGAGGUCAGGGGAAACCUUUUUCCUCAAAAACCUAGCAAAAUAAUCAUCAAAUUAAAGGGGUUUAAGGCUGAAUUUGCAAUGCAUGAGCAAGGAACUUUGAUCUCCUAAGUAUUCUUGACAUCAAGGUCGAAGAAAGGAGGGGAAUCAAACCAAGCAAAGGCAAUAGGAGCGCACGACUCCGGGUCGAAGAAAGGAGGGGAAUCAAACCAAGCAAAGGCAAUAGGAGCGCACGACUCCGGUGAAUCUCACUCUUGGUAAUGGCGAGCUUGGAUCGAACACACCACAUCGCCCUUUAUGCGCUUCCGGUUAAAGUUGUCUUUGUAAAUGGGUCAAAACACUUUCAUAAUGUAAAUGUUAAAUUUAUGUCUAGGAUGUUUUGUAGGUAAGUUAGAAUUUUAAAUCUUAU